AUUGAACGCUGGCGGCAGGCCUAACACAUGCAAGUCGAGCGGAUGAAGGGAGCUUGCUCCUGGAUUCAGCGGCGGACGGGUGAGUAAUGCCUAGGAAUCUGCCUGGUAGUGGGGGAUAACGUCCGGAAACGGGCGCUAAUACCGCAUACGUCCUGAGGGAGAAAGUGGGGGAUCUUCGGACCUCACGCUAUCAGAUGAGCCUAGGUCGGAUUAGCUAGUUGGUGGGGUAAAGGCCUACCAAGGCGACGAUCCGUAACUGGUCUGAGAGGAUGAUCAGUCACACUGGAACUGGAAAACGGUCCAGACUCCUACGGGAGGCAGCAGUGGGGAAUAUUGGACAAUGGGCGAAAGCCUGAUCCAGCCAUGCCGCGUGUGUGAAGAAGGUCUUCGGAUUGUAAAGCACUUUAAGUUGGGAGGAAGGGCAGUAAGUUAAUACCUUGCUGUUUUGACGUUACCAACAGAAUAAGCACCGGCUAACUUCGUG
rnacentral:rRNA from 1 species